ensembl:lncRNA
CUUCUUUCAACUUUUAUCUAUUUCUUUGCUUCUUCCAAAAGUGAAGAUUCUGCUUUCACCUUCUAAGUGACCUCCUCACAGAUGCUGGCACGUGCUACUAGUUGGCUCUAAAGUUAUUUCUUCUUAAGGCUAAACAAACCCUCUCCUUUUAUCGCCUCUACACAGGACCUGAACAUUGAAAUGGAUGUAACACAGGCAUAGAGGAAUAUACAAUCUCCAUAGCUUUCCAAGAUUUCCAUAUCUGUCAAGCAGGUGGUGAGCCUUUACUUUCUGCCUUGCACUGCUUAGCAGGACAAUUGGAUGGGAGAGAAGUCAAAAUGCUAAUUGGGAU